AUUGAACGCUGGCGGCAGGCCUAACACAUGCAAGUCGAGCGGAUGAAGGGAGCUUGCUCCUGGAUUCAGCGGCGGACGGGUGAGUAAUGCCUAGGAAUCUGCCUGGUCGUGGGGGAUAACGUCCGGACACGGGCGCUAAUACCGCAUACGUCCUGAGGGAGAAAGUGGGGGAUCUUCGGACCUCACGCUAUCAGAUGAGCCUAGGUCGGAUUAGCUAGUUGGUGGGGUAAAGGCCUACCAAGGCGACGAUCCGUAACUGGUCUGAGAGGAUGAUCAGUCACACUGGAACUGAGACACGGUCCAGACUCCUACGGGAGGCAGCAGUGGGGAAUAUUGGACAAUGGGCGAAAGCCUGAUCCAGCCAUGCCGCGUGUGUGAAGAAGGUCUUCGGAUUGUAAAGCACUUUAAGUUGGGAGGAAGGGCAGUAAGUUAAUACCUUGCUGUUUUGACGUUACCAACAGAAUAAGCACCGGCUAACUUCGUG
rnacentral:rRNA from 1 species